CUACUCUUGACAUCCAGAGAACUUUCCAGAGAUGGAUUGGUGCCUUCGGGAACUCUGAGACAGGUGCUGCAUGGCUGUCGUCAGCUCGUGUUGUGAAAUGUUGGGUUAAGUCCCGCAACGAGCGCAACCCUUAUCCUUGUUUGCCAGCGAGUAAUGUCGGGAACUCCAGGGAGACUGCCGGUGAUAAACCGGAGGAAGGUGGGGACGACGUCAAGUCAUCAUGGCCCUUACGAGUAGGGCUACACACGUGCUACAAUGGCGCAUACAGAGGGCAGCAAGCUAGCGAUAGUGAGCGAAUCCCAAAAAGUGCGUCGUAGUCCGGAUUGGAGUCUGCAACUCGACUCCAUGAAGUCGGAAUCGCUAGUAAUCGUGGAUCAGAAUGCCACGGUGAAUACGUUCCC
rnacentral:rRNA from 1 species